rnacentral:rRNA from 1 species
CCUGAGCCCGGCCGGUGGUUGUGCCGGGGUAAGCGUGUAGCCCGCAUCAUAGGCAAAUCCGUGAUGCGUACAGGGUGAGACGUGAUGCCGAGCCGAUUCAGGUGAAGUCAGUGAUCCUAUGCUGCCGAGAAAAGCCUCUAGCGAGAUUCAAGCGGCCCGUACCCCAAACCGACACAGGUGGUCAGGUAGAGAAUACCGAGGCGAUCGGGCGAACUAUGGUUAAGGAACUCGGCAAAUUACCCCCGUAACUUCGGGAUAAGGGGGGCCACAAACCGUCAACGCCCUUGCGGCGGGUAGCGGUGGGUGGCCGCAGAGACCAGGGGGAAGCGACUGUUUACUAAAAACACAGGUCCAUGCAAAGUCGUAAGACGACGUAUAUGGACUGACGCCUGCCCGGUGCUGGAACGUUAAGGGGACCGGUUAGCCGUGAGGCGAAGCUGAGAACUUAAGCGCCAGUAAACGGCGGUGGUAACUAUAACCAUCCUAAGGUAGCGAAAUUCCUUGUCGGGUAAGUUCCGACCUGCACGAAUGGCGUAACGACUUCCCUACUGUCUCAACCAUAGGCCCGGCGAAAUUGCAUUACGAGUAAAGAUGCUCGUUACGCGCGGCAGGACGGAAAGACCCCGGGACCUUCACUAUAGCUUGACAUUGGUAUCUGAAUGUAACUGUGUAGGAUAGGUGGGAGACUGUGAAGCUUGGACGCCAGUUCAGGUGGAGUCAAUCUUGAAAUACCACUCUGUUGGAUUUGGGUAUCUAACCUAGGACCGUGAUCCGGUUCAGGGACAGUGUCUGGUGGGUAGUUUAACUGGGGCGGUUGCCUCCCAAAAUGUAACGGAGGCGCCCAAAGGUUCCCUCAGCCUGGUUGGCAAUCAGGUGUUGAGUGCAAGUGCACAAGGGAGCUUGACUGUGAGACUGACAGGUCGAGCAGGGACGAAAGUCGGGACUAGUGAUCCGGCACUGGCAAGUGGAAGCGGUGUCGCUCAACGGAUAAAAGGUACCCCGGGGAUAACAGGCUGAUCUUCCCCAAGAGUCCAUAUCGACGGGAUGGUUUGGCACCUCGAUGUCGGCUCGUCGCAUCCUGGGGCUGGAGUAGGUCCCAAGGGUUGGGCUGUUCGCCCAUUAAAGCGGUACGCGAGCUGGGUUUAGAACGUCGUGAGACAGUUCGGUCCCUAUCCGCCGUGCGCGUAGGAUACUUGAGAAGGGCUGUCCCUAGUACGAGAGGACCGGGACGGACGAACCUCUGGUGUGCCAGUUGUUCCGCCAGGAGCACGGCUGGUUAGCUACGUUCGGAAGGGAUAACCACUGAAAGCAUCUAAGCGGGAAGCCUGCUUCAAGAUGAGGUAUCCCACCCCUAGAGGGUUAAGGCCCCCAGCUAGACGACUGGGUUGAUAGGCCAGAAAUGUAAGCCCGGUAACGGGUUCAGUUGACUGGUACUAAUAGGCCGAGGACUUGACC